GCUCCGGUGGCCUAGUGGUUAGAGCGUCUUCCUCGGAUGCGGGUGGUCAUGGGUACGAACCCCGGCCGAGUCA